AUCCUUUUGUGGUUCAUAAGCAUGAUGAUUGGGUGUUCACGCCAUUGUGUGACAUGUGCCUCCCUUAAACCUGGUUACGUGACCUCAGGACAUUACCUUGUUAUGUGACCUCAGGACAUUACCUGUCUGACG
rnacentral:snoRNA from 1 species